rnacentral:rRNA from 1 species
CCUACGGGAGGCAGCAGUGGGGAAUAUUGCGCAAUGGGCGAAAGCCUGACGCAGCGACGCCGCGUGAGGGAUGAAGGUCUUCGGAUCGUAAACCUCUGUCAGCAGGGAAGAACGGUCACUGUGCUAAUCAGCAGUGAAUUGACGGUACCUGCAAAGGAAGCACCGGCUAACUCCGUGCCCGCAGCCGCGGUAAUACGGAGGGUGCGAGCGUUAAUCGGAAUUACUGGGCGUAAAGCGCUCGUAGGCGGGAUGUCAAGUCAAGGGUGAAAUCCCCGCGCUCAACGUGUGAACUGCCGUUGAAACUGGCAAACUGGAGUGUGUGAGAGGAUAGUGGAAUUCCAGGGGUAGGAGUGAAAUCCGUAGAUAUCUGGAGGAACAUCAGUGGCGAAGGCGACUAUCUGGCACAUAACUGACGCUGAGGAGCGAAAGCGUGGGUAGCAAACAGGAUUAGAUACCCUUGUAGUC